rnacentral:rRNA from 1 species
ACUGGGCGUAAAGAGCUCGUAGGUGGUUUGUCGCGUCGUCUGUGAAAUUCCGGGGCUUAACUCCGGGCGUGCAGGCGAUACGGGCAUAACUUGAGUGCUGUAGGGGAGACUGGAAUUCCUGGUGUAGCGGUGAAAUGCGCAGAUAUCAGGAGGAACACCGAUGGCGAAGGCAGGUCUCUGGGCAGUUACUGACGCUGAGGAGCGAAAGCAUGGGUAGCGAACAGGAUUAGAUACCCUGGUAGUCCAUGCCGUAAACGGUGGGCGCUAGGUGUAGGGGGCUUCCACGUCUUCUGUGCCGUAGCUAACGCAUUAAGCGCCCCGCCUGGGGAGUACGGACGCGAGGCUAAAACUCAAAGGAAUUGAACGGGGGCCCGCACAAGCGGCGGAGCAUGUGGAUUAAUUCGAUGCAACGCGAAGAACCUUACCUGGGCUUGACAUACACCAGAUCGCUGCAGAGAUGUAGUUUCCCUUGUGGUUGGUGUACAGGGUGGUGCAUGGUUGUCGUCAGCUCGUGUCGUGAGAUGUUGGGUUAAGUCCCGCAACGAGCGCAACCCUUGUCUUAUGUUGCCAGCAUUUGGUUGGGGACUCAUGAGAGACUGCCGGGGUUAACUCGGAGGAAGGUGGGGAUGACGUCAAAUCAUCAUGCCCCUUAUGUCCAGGGCUUCACACAUGCUACAAUGGUCGGUACAACGCGCAGCGACACUGUGAGGUGGAGCGAAUCGCUGAAAGCCGGUCUUAGUUCGGAUUGGGGUCUACAACUCGACCCCAUGAAGUCGGAGUCGCCA